UACAGAGGGGGCAAGCGUUUGUUCGGAAUUACUGGGCGUAAAGGGCGCGUAGGCGCCUUCUAAGUCGAACGUGAAAUCCCCGGGCUCAACUGGGGAGGGUCACUCGAUACUGAUCGACUCGAAGGCAGGAGAGGGAAGUGGAAUUCCCGGUGUAGUGGUGAAAUGCGUAGAUAUCGGGAGGAACACCAGUAGCGAAGGCGGCACUCUGGGCCGGUACUGACGCUGAGGAGCGAAAAGCGUGGGGGAGCGAACAGG
rnacentral:rRNA from 1 species